CCUACGUGCGGCAGCAGUGAGGAAUAUUGGUCAAUGGGCGCGAGCCUGAACCAGCCAAGUCGCGUGAAGGAUGACUGCCCUACGGGUUGUAAACUUCUUUUAUAAAGGAAUAAAGUGAGGCACGUGUGCCUUUUUGUAUGUACUUUAUGAAUAAGGAUAGGCUAACUCCGUGCCAGCAGCCGAGGUAAUACGGAGGAUCCGAGCGUUAUCCGGAUUUAUUGGGUUUAAAGGGAGCGUAGAUGGGUUGUUAAGUCAGUUGUGAAAGUAUGCGGCUCAACCGUAAAAUUGCAAUUGAUACUGGCAGUCUUGAGUACAGUUGAGGUAGGCGGAAUUCGUGGUGUAGCGGUGAAAUGCUUAGAUAUCACGAAGAACUCCGAUUGCGAAGGCAGCUUACUAAACUGCCACUGACAUUGAUGCUCGAAAGUGUGGGUAUCAAACAGGAUUAGAUACCCCAGUAGUC
rnacentral:rRNA from 1 species